CCUACGGGAGGCUGCAGUGGGGGAUAUUGCACAAUGGGCGAAACCCUGAUGCAGCGACGCCGCGUGAGCGAAGAAGGCCUUCGGGUCGUAAGGCUCUGUCCUAUGGGACGAAAGAUGAGGUAACCAAAGGAGGAGGCCCCGGUUAACACGGGGCCAGCACCCGGGGAAAUACGAGGGGGGAGGGGUUGGUCGGGAAUGCUGGGGGGUAAGGGUGAGGAAGGCGGCCAGCUAGGUCAGAUGUGAAACGAAUAGCUUUACUCUGUGUAAGCAUUUGAAACUGUCGAGCUUGAGUCAAGGAGAGGAAAGUGGAAUUCCUGGUGUAGCGGUGAAAUGCGUAGAUAUCAGGAGGAAUACCAGUGGCGAAGGCGACUUUCUGGACUUAGACUGACGCUGAGGUACGAAAGCGUGGGGAGCAAACAGGAUUAGAUACCCGAGUAGUC
rnacentral:rRNA from 1 species